CGCUCAGCUGUCUUGGCCUCUCUGUCGUCCGUCCGACGCGACCGAUCGACGGGCACACGCACGACGCGCAACGCGCGACGGCGAGUGCUUCAAGGGACGUCGUCGUGCGCGUCUGUGUCGUCGAUUUCAAAGUCAUCGGUUCGAGCAUGCACGCGCCAUGUCAUCAAACCGUUGGUUGAAAGUCGCGAUCGGUGAUCGUAACGAUCGCGGCGACGACGCGUGAUCGUCGUCGGACGAGGUCGGCGUGUCGCGUGAAAUUAACGUCGCGCUACUCGGUAGCGUGUAGCAUCUCCCGCGCCCGGCAGUCUCGUUGUUGGCCGCGUGUGUUUCGCGUUUUCUUCGACGCGUUUUGUCUAUGCCGUUCCUUUCCCCCGCGUCACGGCGUGUUCGCGCCUGAAACUGGACUGGGGACUGGAAGUGUUUACGCGGCGGACGUACUGUGACUGCGAUCGAAGGACCCUGCACGUGCAACGACGAUCUGCCACGGUGCUACAUCGAGGAAGAAACUUCGGGGCCGCUUCGUCUUCCUCGAACCUUCGAGACGACGGUCCGUUGCGACACAAGCUGCGUGGGAUUCUUCCACCGUGAGGGGAAAAAUCAAAGAAAUAUUCUCGGCGGUGAAUCAGCCAGGGAAGAGGCUGUCUCUAGGAAGAGGUAUAUAUAUACGGGAUUUCUCGGAGCAGGAAAAUUUUGAUUAUGUUCCACCUUUGAGGCGGAACGAAAAGUCGAGCCACGAAAAAGCACUUGCUCCGUGGGAGAGGGAGGGGCGGGGAGGAAAGAAAGUUCUUGCCUCCGGUCGACGUGCAAACUUUUCCCCGGCAACGUGAGUAGACACGUAACGUGUACCAACCCGAAGGAGAGGAGAUCCUUUUUCGGUAUAUUCGAAAGAGGGAUGGCGUGAAACCUCGGCGAACAGCCGACCGAACAGCGUUCUUCGUUCCCUUCGUCUUCUCUCGGACCAUUUGCGAGAUUCGCUCGGACCCUGGCUCGAUUCACACUGCCGGGAGAAAGGAUACGAGCAGCAACGAUGGAUGUUCCGUUCGACGUUGGACGCGAGGAUACUUUGCCCAGACGAUGUAGAGAUAUCUAAAUGCUUUCGCGACUCUUUCGUCCUUCGAUACUCUUCUUGGGACGUUAAACCGUACCGUUGAUCGUUCGACUUACGUAUAUACGAUACAUUCGAGAUUCGACAGUUGGUUGGUUGUACCCGAUAAAUGUGUGUCACUCCGGUAAAAGUGUUGGAGUUUUCGUGAGUUUUCGCGAAGCGAUCCUGCGUCGAUUCGUUCAUCGUAGACUGUCGGGGGAAAAAACUCACCGGGGAAUCUCGGAAUCUCGGUGCUGUUACCUCGCCCGUGCGUUUUUUCGUGGGAACGCCACGGGAUUUCGACGGGCAGGGCGAAAGAAGAAUCUCCCCCCUGCGAGAAGGUUCGUUUCCGUGGAUUGGUGGCUCCCAGCUCUGUAGCAAGAAAGCGCUUAAAAGCUUGAUUAAUUGCGCUCGGAGGCAGCUCGGUGACCGGUGCACGCCAACCAUGCAUCGGCCGGGUUGCGCCGCUCGCUCGAGAAAUAGCGGGGAGAACGUCGUUUCCUGCGAGAGAGCCGAUCCUCCGCUACGCCACCCUGCCCAACCGAUAAGAUAUCGAGGACGUUGGCACUGCUAGAGAAGACGCUGGAGGAGGCGGAGGAGGAGGAGGAGGAAGAAGAAGAAGAAGAAGAA